rnacentral:rRNA from 1 species
UACGGGGGGGGCAAGCGUUGUUCGGAAUUACUGGGCGUAAAGGGCUCGUAGGUGGCCAACUAAGUCAACCGUGAAAUCCCUCGGCUUAACCGGGGAACUGCGUUUGAUACUGGAUGGCUUGAGUUUGGGAGAGGGAUGCGGAAUUCCAGGUGUAGCGGUGAAAUGCGUAGAUAUCUGGAGGAACACCGGUGGCGAAGGCGGCAUCCUGGACCAAUACUGACGCUCAGGCACGAAAGCGUGGGGAGCAAACAGG